rnacentral:rRNA from 1 species
CGGGUAACGGGGAAUCAGGGUUCGAUUCCGGAGAGGACACCUGAGAAACGGCGUCCACAUCUACGGGUGGCAGCAGGCGCGUAAAUUGCCCAAUCUCAAUAGAGAGGAGGCGGUGACAAUAAAUCCCGAUGGCCAUGGGGGCAACCCCGGGCCAAUCAGAAUAAGUACACAUUAAAUACCCUAACCAAUAUAAUUGGAGGGCAAGUCUGGUGCCAGCAGCCGCGGUAAUUCCAGCUCCAAUAGCGUAUACUAAUGUUGUUGCAGUUAAAACGCUCGUAGCUGAACAACUUGAUGGCAAAUUCAGGUCAAUGUGGCACGUCCAUGGGGGGAAACCUCUAUGCGGCAGUGUCCUUGACCGGCUAAGCAGGUAGGUAGUUUGGCGUGUGUAGUAAUACAUGCGUCAGGCGAUCGACUGUGCAUAAACCUUGAUGCUCAAGGUAAAGACGACUCUAGUCAAAGAUACGCAGUGCAUGGCAUUGUGGAACAAGGCGAUCCGUAGCUUGGUUGGUGAGCUACGGGUGCAAUGAUUAAUAGGGAGGAGCGGGGGCCU